UGGAUCCAGACUUUGAUCCUGGCUCAGGAUGAACGCUAGCUACAGGCUUAACACAUGCAAGUCGAGGGGCAGCAUGAUUGAAGCUUGCUUCAAUUGAUGGCGACCGGCGCACGGGUGAGUAACACGUAUCCAACCUUCCGUACACUCAGGGAUAGCCUUUCGAAAGAAAGAUUAAUACCUGAUGGUAUCUUAAGCACACAUGUAAUUAAGAUUAAAGAUUCAUCGGUGUACGAUGGGGAUGCGUUCCAUUAGGUAGUAGGCGGGGUAACGGCCCACCUAGCCUACGAUGGAUAGGGGUUCUGAGAGGAAGGUCCCCCACAUUGGAACUGAGACACGGUCCAAACUCCUACGGGAGGCAGCAGUGAGGAAUAUUGGUCAAUGGACGAGAGUCUGAACCAGCCAAGUAGCGUGAAGGAUGAAGGUCCUACGGAUUGUAAACUUCUUUUAUAAGGGAAUAAAACCUCCCACGUGUGGGAGCUUGUAUGUACCUUAUGAAUAAGCAUCGGCUAACUCCGUGCCAGCAGCCGCGGUAAUACGGAGGAUGCGAGCGUUAUCCGGAUUUAUUGGGUUUAAAGGGAGCGCAGACGGGUCGUUAAGUCAGCUGUGAAAGUUUGGGGCUCAACCUUAAAAUUGCAGUUGAUACUGGCGUCCUUGAGUGCGGUUGAGGUGUGCGGAAUUCGUGGUGUAGCGGUGAAAUGCUUAGAUAUCACGAAGAACUCCGAUUGCGAAGGCAGCACACUAAGCCGUAACUGACGUUCAUGCUCGAAGGUGUGGGUAUCAAACAGGAUUAGAUACCCUGGUAGUCCACACGGUAAACGAUGGAUACUCGCUGUUGGCGAUAUACGGUCAGCGGCUUAGCGAAAGCGUUAAGUAUCCCACCUGGGGAGUACGCCGGCAACGGUGCAACUCAAAGGAAUUGACGG
rnacentral:rRNA from 2 species